AGAUCAUGUUUUUAGAUGGAAUUAUGAUACUGGAAGCCCUUGAUACUUUUUAUUUCUCUUAUUACAUUUUUUUAUUCUUUUAACUUAUGACACUUCCAUUAAUAGACACGCAUAAUAAUUAUGGAUGGAGACUGCAAUAUAUUUUUGGAACAACUUUUUCAAGUCAAUAUUGGUGCCAAUUUGAGACAACUCAAUGCUGAGAUAUUGCUUGCCUUGUUCUGGAGGUUGCUGGAGAAAUUUUUUACUACGGUUUCAUCAGGUUUCUACAAGGAUGAUGAGCAGGGUUGGCUGUGUUCACAGGAUUUCUGUCUUUUUCUCUUCAUCUAAGUCAAAACAUGUUUUCCAUGAGCAUCUCAACUUUCUAGUCACAAAAUUCAAGAAUUCCCAAGGCAGAUUUUUAUCUUGAUUUUUCACUGAAGAAGGUAUUCCAUUAGCUGUCCAACUGGAAAGCCUUCGCUCUUUC